rnacentral:rRNA from 1 species
AGUGAACGCUGGCGGUAGGCCUAACACAUGCAAGUCGAACGGCAGCACAGUAAGAGCUUGCUCUUACGGGUGGCGAGUGGCGGACGGGUGAGGAAUACAUCGGCAUCUACUUUUUCGUGGGGGAUAACGUAGGGAAACUUACGCUACUACCGCAUAAGACCUACGGGUGAAAGCAGGGGAUCUUCGGACAUUUCGCGAUUGAAUGAGCCGAUGUCGGAUUAGCUAGUUGGAGGGGUAAAGGCCCACCAAGGCAACGAUCCGUAGCUGGUCUGAGAGGAUGAUCGGCCACACUGGAACUGAGACACGGUCCAGACUCCUACGGGAGGCAGCAGUGGGGAAUAUUGGACAAUGGGCGCAAGCCUGAUCCAGCCAUACCGCGUGGGUGAGGAAGGCCUUCGGGUUGUAAAGCCCUUUUGUUGGGAAAGAAAAGCAGCAGGUUAAUACCCCGCUGUUCUGACGGUACCCAAAGAAUAAGCACCGGCUAACUUCGUG